CUCUGUUCUCACCUUCUAUGCACAUGAGGUGUUCGAUGAAAUGCCUGAGCCACACUAAAGCUUUCUCUCCUCUCCAAGCUCGACCUCCAAGCUUCAUUUUGCCCACGAUUUGUCUAGGUUUGGCGGUGCACCAACUAUCCAAGUGUUCUAAAAAGAUUAGCAACUUCAUCCUCAUCUCUCACUACUAGUUUAGCUCAUUUCAAAACUCUCGAAGUAGUGUGGUUUGGUGCCGUCCCGUCCCCGUCCCCGUCGUCCUCACCCCCGUCGAUCGCCCGCGCCGAUCUCGUCGCCAGCACCAUCGUGAUGAACCACCAAUGAAUGUACGGUGACCGACGCACUUCGGAGUACAUUAUGGGCCUGCGUAAUUUUCUCGGUGUGGCCACGGCAACCAAGCAGAAUGGUUUUAUGUACUGUCCAUGUGUUCACUAUGGGAAUACGAAGAAUUACUCAUCCCCGAAAACCCUUCACGUCCACUUGCUUGAGAAGGGAUUCAUGCCCCACUAUUAUGUUUGGACCAAGCACGGACAAAGAGGGGUUGUGAUGGAAGACAAUGAAGAAGAAGGGGACGAUGACAACUAUCCGCAUGCUAUGUUCCCUGAAUACGGUGAUACUACAAUGGGGGAAGCUCAAGAUCAAGAGGCACCAGAUGUGCCCGAUGAUAAUCUUCGCCGGGUCAUUGUUGAUGCAGAGAGAGGAUGCGAAAAUGAAAGGGAGAAGUUGAAGUUCGAUCACAUGUUAGAGGAUCACAAAAAAUGGUUGUACCCAAGUUGCAAAGAUGGCAACACAAAGCUCGGUACCACAAUGGAAUUGCUGCAAUUGAAGGCAGAGAAUGGUGUAUCUGACAAGGGAUUUGGUUCGCUACUGAUAAUAGUGAACAAGAAGCUUCCAAAGGAUAACGAAUUGCCUGACAGUAUGUAUGAGGCAAAGAAGGUUUUCUGCCCUCUAGGUUUAGAGGUGCAGAACAUACAUGCAUGCCCUAAUGACUGUAUCCUCUACCGCGGUGAGGAGUACGACAAUUUGCAUGCAUGCCCGGUAUGUGGUGCACUGCGGUAUAAGAUGAGACGAGAUGACCCUGGUGAUGUUGAGGGCGAGCGCCCCAGGAAGAGGGUUCCUGCCAUGGUGAUGUGGUAUGCUCCGAUAAUACCAUGGUUGAAACGUUUGUUUGGAAACAAUGAGCAUGACAAGUUAUUGCGAUGGCACAAAUAAGACCGUAAGAAAGAUUGGAUGUUGAGAGUACCCGCUGACGGGUCGCAAUGGAGAAAAAUUGAGAGACAGUGGCGGGACUUUGCAGGUGACGCAAGGAAUGUAUGGUUUGGUUUAAGUGCAUAUGGCAUUAAUCCUUUUGGGGAGCAGAGCAACCAUCAUAGCACUUGGCAUGUGACUCUACGUAUCUAUAACCUUCCUCCUUGGUUGUGCAUGAAGCAGAAGUUAAUUAUGAUGCCAGUCCUCAUCCAAGGCCGGAAGCAACCCGGCAUUGACAUUGAUGUGUACCUAAGGCCAUUAGUUGAAGAACUUUUAUAGCUGUGGGUCAAAAAAGGUGUACUUCCAUGGGCUGAGCACAAACAGGAGGAAUCUAACCUAUGACCGUUGUUGUCUGUAACCAUCAAUGAUUAGCCUGCUCUAAGUAACCUUCCAGGACAGACAAACAAGGGAUACAACGCAUGCAUGCACUAUUUAGAUCAGACUGAAAGUAUAUAUUUGCACAAAUGCAAGAGAAUGUGUACCUGGGACAUCGUCGAUUUCUUCCGGCCAAGCAUGCCUUAAGAAAGAAAGGCAAGCAUUUCAAAGGUGAGGCAGAUCACCAGAAGAAGCCCAUCCUCCGUACUGGUGAUGGUAUACUUGACAUGGUCAACGAUUUACAAAUAAUCUUUGGAAAGGGUCAUGGCGGACAAUCUGUUCCGAAUGACGCUAAGGGACAUGCACCCAUGUGAAAGAAGAAAUCUAUAUUUUGGGACCUACCCUAUUGGAAAGACCUAGAGGUACGCUCUGCAAUCGACGUGAUGCACGUGACAAAGAAAGUUUGUGUGAACCUGCUAGGCUUCUUGGGCGUGUACGGGAAGACAAAAGAUACACCGGAGGCUCACGAGGACCAGGAACGUGUCAAUGACAAAGAUGACAUGGAUCCAAAGCGGUAUCAAGGUCCUGCCAGCUACACUCUUAAAAAAGCAAAGAAGGAAAUUUUUUUGAAUGUCUGCUCCGUAUCAAGGUCCUGUCUAGCUUCUCGUCGAAUAUAAAGGGAAUAAUAAAUAUGGCAGAGAAAAAAAUUCUAGAACCUAAAGUCUCAUGACUUCCACUUGAUUAUGACGCAACUGCUUCCGGUUGCAUUGAGGGGGCUUCUACCAGAAAAUGUUCGAUUAGCCAUUGUGAAGCUAUGUGCAUUCCUCAAUGCAAUUUCUCAGAAGUUAAUCGAUCGAGAAAUCCUACAAAGGUUACAGAGUGAUUUGGUCCAAUGUCUUGUCAGUUUGGAGUUGGUGUUCCCACCAUCCUUCCUCAACAUUAUGACGCACGUCCUAGUUCAGCUAGUCCAAGAGAUUGUCAUUCUACGUCUUGUAUUUCUACACAAUAUGUUCCCCUUUGAGAGGGUUCAUGGGAGUCUUAAAGAAAUAUGUCUGUUACCGUGCUAGGCCAGAAAGAAGCAUCUCUAAUGGCCAUGAAACAGAGGAGGUCAUUGGGUUUUGUGUUGACUUUAUUCCUUACCUUAAGCCAAUUGGUGUCCCUCAAUCGCAGUAUGAGGGGUGACUAAGUGGACAAGGCACGCUAGGAGCGAAAUCAAUAAUAUGUAGGGACGUGCAUUCUUGGGCGCAAGCACACUACACAGUUCUAUAUAAUUCCACCUUGGUGGCCCCGUAUAUCAAUGAACACAAGAAUAUUGGAUGCUCCAAACACCUGGAGCAGUCUGACGACUGGAUUACCAAUGAAGACAUUGGGACUUUCGGCGGUUGGUUGCAAACAUAUCUCAUGCAUAGCAAAAUUGUUGAAGAUGAGCUAUACUUGUUCGCCAGGACACCAUCUUCGACUGUAUUUACUUACCAAGGGUACGAGAUAAAUGGGAAUACAUUUCACAUGAUCGCCCAAGAUAAAAAGAGCACAAACCGAAACAGUGGUGUCUGCUUUGAUGCAACAAACACCAAUAGGGCAAAGGAUACAUAUUAUGGUUACAUAGAGUAGAUAGGGAACUUGACAACGGAUGUGAAUUUAAGGUCUCUUUUUUGGUGCAAAUGGAUCAGUAUGAUUGGAGGCGGGGUACAAGUAGACCCGCAGUACGGAAUGACAAUAGUGGAUCUCAACAAUCUUGGGUACACAAACAAACCAUUCGUCUUUGUCAAUGAGGUGGCGCAUGUUUUCUAUGUGAAGGACAUGUCUACCCAACCGAGAAAAAGAAAAGGUAAGGAAGCGAAUACAUCAUACGAUGAGCCAAAGCGCCACACAGUUCUUUCAAGGAAAAGAAACAUCGUGGGUGUGGAGGAGAAGACAGACAUGUCAAAAGAUUAUGAAAAGUUUCAUGAAAUUCCUCCCUUCACAUUGAAGACUGACCCAAGCAUCCUGUUAAAUGAUGAAGAUUAUACAUGGUUAUGGCGCAAUA